rnacentral:lncRNA from 1 species
CCUCAAUUUAUUUUCACAUUGCAUAUUUAGAAAAAUUCAUAUAACCAUAAAUAUUAAAUAUUGCACCAAUUUUUAUUUACAUUUUAUUUAAUAUUUGUACAUAAAAAAUAACAAUAAUGUAAUCACCUACCCCCAAUAUAUAUAAUAGAUAUGAAAAUGUUUCUAAUAACUUAUUGAGAACUUUUAUCUGAGAAUUUUUCAGGUGUAUAAAAUCAUCUUUUAACACACAAAAGUCAUGCAAUACGAAGGGGGUACAACCAAAAACUAUAAGCUAAAUAAAGGAA